rnacentral:rRNA from 1 species
GACGAACGCUGGCGGCGUGCUUAACACAUGCAAGUCGAGCGGUAAGGCCCUUUCGGGGGUACACGAGCGGCGAACGGGUGAGUAACACGUGGGUGACCUGCCCUCAGCUCUGGGAUAAGCCUGGGAAACUGGGUCUAAUACCGGAUAUGACUCCAUGACGCAUGUUGUGGGGUGGAAAGCCUUGCGCGGCUGAGGAUGGGCCCGCGGCCUAUCAGCUUGUUGGUGGGGNGAUGGCCUACCAAGGCGACGACGGGUAGCCGGCCUGAGAGGGCGACCGGCCACACUGGGACUGAGACACGGCCCAGACUCCUACGGGAGGCAGCAGUGGGGAAUCUUGCGCAAUGGGCGAAAGCCUGACGCAGCGACGCCGCGUGAGGGAUGACGGCCU